UACGGAGGGUGCGAGCGUUAAUCGGAAUUACUGGGCGUAAAGCGCGCGUAGGCGGCUUUUCAAGUCGAUUGUGAAAUCCCCGGGCUUAACCUGGGAACUGCAGUCGAGACUGUCUAGCUAGAGUAUGGGAGAGGGAAGUGGAAUUUCAGGUGUAGCGGUGAAAUGCGUAGAUAUCUGAAGGAACAUCAGUGGCGAAAGCGACUUCCUGGACCAAUACUGACGCUCAUGUGCGAAAGCGUGGGGAGCAAACAGG
rnacentral:rRNA from 1 species